rnacentral:rRNA from 1 species
UACGUAGGUGGCGAGCGUUGUCCGGAUUUACUGGGUGUAAAGGGCGUGUAGGCGGGUAUGUAAGUCAGAUGUGAAAUUCCAUGGCUCAACUGUGGGGCUGCAUCUGAAACUAUAUCUCUUGAGUGCUGGAGAGGAAAGCGGAAUUCCUAGUGUAGCGGUGAAAUGCGUAGAUAUUAGGAGGAACACCAGUGGCGAAGGCGGCUUUCUGGACAGUAACUGACGCUGAGGCGCGAAAGCGUGGGGAGCAAACAGG